GGGCCCGCACAAGUGGUGGAGCAUGUGGUUUAAUUCGAUGCAACGCGAAGAACCUUACCAACCCUUGAAAUCUAGCGAAGUUCACAGAGAUGAGAAUGUGCCUUCGGGAACGCUAUGACAGGUGUUGCAUGGCUGUCGUCAGCUCGUGUCGUGAGAUGUAUGGUUAAGUCCAGUAACGAGCGCAACCCCUAUCCUUAUUUGCCAGCGCGUUAAGGCGGGAACUAUAGGGAGACUGCCGGGUGAAACCCGGAGGAAGGCGGGGACGAGGUCAAGUCAUCAUGGCCCUUAUGGGUUGGGCUACACACGUGCUACAAUGGGAAGUACAGAGGGAUGCUACCCCGUAAGGGGAUGCGGAUCUAUAAAACCGAUCUCAGUUCGGAUUGCAGUCUGCAACUCGACUGCAUGAAGCUGGAAUCGCUAGUAAUCGCGGAUC
rnacentral:rRNA from 1 species